UGCGUAGGGGGCAAGCGUUAUCCGGAUUUACUGGGUGUAAAGGGAGCGUAGACGGCAGAGCAAGUCUGAAGUGAAAGCCCGCGGCCCAACUGCGGGACUGCUUUGGAAACUGCCCGGCUAGAGUGCUGGAGAGGUAAGCGGAAUUCCUAGUGUAGCGGUGAAAUGCGUAGAUAUUAGGAGGAACACCAGUGGCGAAGGCGGCUUACUGGACAGUAACUGACGUUGAGGCUCGAAAGCGUGGGGAGCAAACAGG
rnacentral:rRNA from 1 species